rnacentral:rRNA from 1 species
GAUCAUGGCUCAGAUUGAACGCUGGCGGCAGGCCUAACACAUGCGAGUCGAGCGGUAACAGAUCCAGCUUGCUGGAUGCUGACGAGCGGCGGACGGGUGAGUAAUGCAUAGGAAUCUGCCCGAUAGUGGGGGAUAACCUGGGGAAACCCAGGCUAAUACCGCAUACGUCCUACGGGAGAAAGGGGGCUUCGGCUCCCGCUAUCGGAUGAGCCUAUGUCGGAUUAGCUAGUUGG